GGUUCCAUAGGAUAAUGACUAAUCCGCCCUUCCAGGGGAAGGGUAAUACCGGUUAAAUUCCGGACUAGGAACCACCA
rnacentral:tRNA from 1 species